CAUGCAAGUCGAACGAAGUCUUCGGACUUAGUGGCGGACGGGUGAGUAACACGUGGGAACGUACCUUUUGGUUUGGGAUAACACAGGGAAACUUGUGCUAAUACCAAAUGAGCCCUUAGGGGGAAAGAUUUAUCGCCGAAAGAGCGGCCCGCGUUGGAUUAGCUAGUUGGGGGGGUAAAGGCCCACCAAGGCUACGAUCCAUAGCUGGUCUGAGAGGAUGAUCAGCCACAUUGGGACUGAGACACGGCCCAAACUNNUACGGGAGGCAGCAGUGGGGAAUCUUGCGCAAUGGUCGAAAGACUGACGCAGCCAUGCCGCGUGAAUGAUGAAGGUCUUAGGAUUGUAAAAUUCUUUUAGCAGGGACGAUAAUGACGGUACCUGCAGAAAAAGCCCCGGCUAACUUCGUGCCAGCAGCCGCGGUAAUACGAAGGGGGCUAGCGUUGCUCGGAAUUACUGGGCGUAAAGGGAGCGUAGGCGGGAUAACAAGUUGGGGGUGAAAGCCCGGGGCUCAACCUCGGAAUUGCCUUCAAAACUGUUAUCCUUGAGUAUGGAAGAGGUAAGUGGAACUCCGAGUGUAGAGGUGAAAUUCGUAGAUAUUCGGAAGAACACCAGUGGCGAAGGCGACUUACUGGUCCAUGACUGACGCUGAGGCUCGAAAGCGUGGGGAGCAAACAGGAUUAGAUACCCUGGUAGUCCACGCUGUAAACGAUGAGAGCUAGUUGUCGGGCAGCAUGCCGUUCGGUGACGCAGCUAACGCAUUAAGCUCUCCGCCUG
rnacentral:rRNA from 1 species